CAAUCCAUGAGAGCCCGGGAGGUCGGAGGAGGUCAAGUCAGGCCUCUCGAUGACCCGAGCGAUAGGACAAAUGGAAGGCAAGACAAUCAAGAAAACAAAAAAAUUUAGAAAACGGAAAAUAUAUAACUCGGAAAGAGGGUAAAUAGCAGAUUGGAAUGGCAAGUCAAGGAAACCCAACUGAACGGGCAGGAUCCAAACAUGACGUAGAACUAACUACCAAUACGUAAG